GAAAUGCGAUAAGUAGUGUGAAUUGCAGAAUUCAGUGAAUCAUCGAAUCUUUGAACGCACAUUGCGCCCUAUGGUAUUCCGUAGGGCAUGCCUGUUCGAGCGUCAUUUACACCUUCAAGCCUUGCUUGGUGUUGGGUGACUGUGGCCCCUUUGGGGCCACUCGCCUUAAAGUCAUUGGCGGCCGGUUCGUUGGCUUUGUAGCGCAGCACAAUUGCGUCUUCGAAGCCGCUGGACCAGCUCCCAGAAGCUAAUUUUAAAUGUUUGACCUCGAAUCAGGUAGGGAUACCCGCUGAACUUAAGC
rnacentral:misc_RNA from 1 species